rnacentral:rRNA from 1 species
UACGUAGGGGGCAAGCGUUGUCCGGAAUCAUUGGGCGUAAAGAGCGUGUAGGCGGCUCGAUAAGUCUGCUGUGAAAGUCCAGGGCUCAACCCUGGAAGGCCGGUGGAAACUGUCGGGCUAGAGUCCGGAAGAGGCGAGUGGAAUUCCUGGUGUAGCGGUGGAAUGCGCAGAUAUCAGGAAGAACACCCGUGGCGAAGGCGGCUCUCUGGAACGCAACUGACGCUGAGACGCGAAAGCGUGGGGAGCAAACAGG